rnacentral:rRNA from 1 species
AACGAACGCUGGCGGCAUGCCUAGCACAUGCAAGUCGAGCGCCCGUAGCAAUACGGGAGCGGCGCACGGGUGAGUAGCGCGUGGGAACCUGCCCAGAGGUUCGGGACAACCGCGGGAAACUGCGGCUGAUACCGGAUGAUGCCUGAGGGCCAAAGAUUUAUCGCCUUUGGAGGGCCCGCGUCGGAUUAGGUAGUUGGUGAGGUAACGGCUCACCAAGCCUGUGAUCCGAGCUGGUCUGAGAGGAUGAUCAGCCACACUGGGACUGAGACACGGCCCAGACUCCUACGGGAGGCAGCAGUGGGGAGUAUUGGACAAUGGGGGCAACCCUGAUCCAGCAAUGCCGCGUGGGUGAUGAAGGCCUUCGGUUGUAAG